CACCCCCGUCUAACAGUUACCUUCCUCCGUCAGCAUCGGGUCGUUCAGGCGGCGGAUACCCUCAGGGACCCCAGGGGCAUGGGGGAUCUGGUUUCGGAUCAGGGUCGCAAAUAUUCGCAGCUAGGAGUUCGGGGGGACAUGGAAAAAACAAUGGUUUUGCUAGGAGCGGUCAAUUUGGGCACGGCGACCACGGUGGCUCUGAAGGAUACGACCAA